rnacentral:rRNA from 1 species
GACGAACGCUGGCGGCGUGCUUAACACAUGCAAGUCGAACGGAAAGGCCCUGCUUUUGUGGGGUGCUCGAGUGGCGAACGGGUGAGUAACACGUGAGUAACCUGCCCUUGACUUUGGGAUAACUUCAGGAAACUGGGGCUAAUACCGGAUAGGAGCUCCUGCUGCAUGGUGGGGGUUGGAAAGUUUCGGCGGUUGGGGAUGGACUCGCGGCUUAUCAGCUAGUUGGUGGGGUAGUGGCUUACCAAGGCUUUGACGGGUAGCCGGCCUGAGAGGGUGACCGGCCACAUUGGGACUGAGAUACGGCCCAGACUCCUACGGGAGGCAGCAGUGGGGAAUAUUGCACAAUGGGCGGAAGCCUGAUGCAGCAACGCCGCGUGCGGGAUGACGGCCUUCGGGUUGUAAACCGCUUUCGCCUGUGACGAAGCGUGAGUGGCGGUAAUGGGUAAAGAAGCACCGGCUAACUACGUG